CAAUAUCUGGAAAAGAACUGCUGCUGCAUUGCUUUGAGAAACAACAGGGAGCAAAUUACUGGACGGAUUCUUUAACUUACCAAUCAGAACUGCUGACCUUUUAUGACUCUCCGAUUCAAGAAGCCUGCCAAACCCUUACAGAAAACACCCAGGAGAAGAACUAGAACUGCUGGUUCCAAAGGUCUUGAGACAUCUCCCUGUAUUCACAGAUCAUGAGUAGGAAUGAACAAAACCUGACAUGUUAAAAGGAGAAAAGGACUGACUCUAUCUGGAUAAGAGGAAAAAUAAAACUGAAGCCCCAGAAUAAACAAACUGCUAAUAGUGUUAACCAGAAAAUGAAUGAUAUGAAUGAGUUACAUGUAUCAAAUGCUGAUUCAAAUGAGGUGUUUUUUCAUAUUAUAUGAAAAUGAAUAGAUCUAUGUUUGACACAAUGAAUAAAUCCAGAAAAA